GAGGAAUAUUGGUCAAUGGGCGAGAGCCUGAACCAGCCAAGUCGCGUGAGGGAAGAAUGGUCUAUGGCCUGUAAACCUCUUUUGUCAAGGAAGAAUAAGGAUGACGAGUCAUUCGAUGCCAGUACUUGACGAAUAAGCAUCGGCUAACUCCGUGCCAGCAGCCGCGGUAAUACGGGGGAUGCGAGCGUUAUCCGGAUUUAUUGGGUUUAAAGGGCGCGUAGGCGGGACGGCAAGUCAGCGGUAAAAGACUGCAGCUAAACUGUAGCACGCCGUUGAAACUGUUGACCUCGAGACGAGACGAGGGAGGCGGAACAAGUGAAGUAGCGGUGAAAUGCAUAGAUAUCACUUGGAACCCCGAUAGCGAAGGCAGCUUCCCAGGCUCGUUCUGACGCUGAUGCGCGAGAGCGUGGGUAGCGAACAGGAUUAGAUACCCUGGUAGUCCACGCCGUAAACGAUGCUCACUGGAUCUUGGCGAUACACGGCCAGGGUUCAAGCGAAAGUAUUAAGUGAGCCACCUGGGGAGUACGUCGGCAACGAUGAAACUCAAAGGAAUUGACGGGGGCCCGCACAAGCGGAGGAACAUGUGGUUUAAUUCGAUGAUACGCGAGGAACCUUACCCGGGUUUAAAUGUAGAUUGCAUGAGGUGGAAACACUUCUUCCCUUCGGGGCUAUUUACAAGGUGCUGCAUGGUUGUCGUCAGCUCGUGCCGUGAGGUGUCGGGUUAAGUCCCAUAACGAGCGCAACCCCUAUCGCCAGUUGCCAUCGGUUCAAGCCGGGCACUCUGUCGAGACUGCCACCGUAAGGUGCGAGGAAGGCGGGGAUGACGUCAAAUCAGCACGGCCCUUACACCCGGGGCGACACACGUGUUACAAUGGCCGGUACAGAGGGCAGCCACGGGGUGACCCGGAGCGAAUCUCUAAAGCCGGUCGUAGUUCGGACUGGAGUCUGCAACCCGACUCCACGAAGUUGGAUUCGCUAGUAAUCGCGCAUCAGCCAUGGCGCGGUGAAUACGUUCCCG
rnacentral:rRNA from 1 species